ACGGGGGGGGCAAGCGUUGUUCGGAAUUACUGGGCGUAAAGGGCCAGUAGGCGGCCCACUAAGUCGGAUGUGAAAUCCCCGGGCUCAACCCGGGAACUGCGUCCGAUACUGGGAGGCUUGGAUCCGGGAGAGGGAUGUGGAAUUCCAGGUGUAGCGGUGAAAUGCGUAGAUAUCUGGAGGAACACCGGUGGCGAAGGCGACUUACUGGACACAUAUUGACGCUGAGGUGCGAAAGCGUGGGGAGCAAACAGGA
rnacentral:rRNA from 1 species